rnacentral:rRNA from 1 species
UGGGGGAUAUUGCACAAUGGGCGAAAGCCUGAUGCAGCGACGCCGCGUGGGGGAUGAAGGCUUUCGGGUUGUAAACCUCUUUCGCUAUCGAACAAGGCCCGCUUAGGGUGGGUUGAGGGUAGGGGGAGAAGAAGCGCCGGCUAACUACGUGCCAGCAGCCGCGGUAAUACGUAGGGCGCGAGCGUUGUCCGGAAUUAUUGGGCGUAAAGGGCUUGUAGGCGGCUUGUUGCGCCUGCUGUGAAAACGCGGGGCUUAACUUCGCGCGUGCAGUGGGUACGGGCAGGCUUGAGUGUGGUAGGGGUGACUGGAAUUCCAGGUGUAGCGGUGGAAUGCGCAGAUAUCUGGAGGAACACCGAUGGCGAAGGCAGGUCACUGGGCCAUUACUGACGCUGAGGAGCGAAAGCAUGGGUAGCGAACAGG